UUAGUUGGCGGGGUAAUGGCCCACCAAGACGAUGAUCGGUAUCCGGCCUGAGAGGGCGCACGGACACACUGGAACUGAAACACGGUCCAGACUCCUACGGGAGGCAGCAGUGGGGAAUUUUGCGCAAUGGGGGAAACCCUGACGCAGCAACGCCGCGUGGAGGAUGAAGUACUUCGGUACGUAAACUCCUUUCGAUCGGGACGAUAAUGACGGUACCGAGAGAAGAAGCCCCGGCUAACUUCGUGCCAGCAGCCGCGGUAAUACGAGGGGGGCGAGCGUUGUUCGGAAUUAUUGGGCGUAAAGGGUGCGUAGGCGGUUUGGUAAGUCUCUUGUGAAAUCUAUGGGCUCAACUCAUAGUCUGCAAGGGAAACUGCCGGGCUUGAGUGUGGGAGAGGUGAGUGGAAUUUCCGGUGUAGCGGUGAAAUGCGUAGAUAUCGGAAGGAACACCUGUGGCGAAAGCGGCUCACUGGACCACAACUGACGCUGAUGCACGAAAGCUAGGGGAGCAAACAGGAUUAGAUACCCUGGUAGUCCACACUGUAAACGAUGAUUACUCGAUGUUGGCGAUACACAGCCAGCGUCUUAGCGAAAGCGAUAAGUAAUCCACCUGGGGAGUACGCCGGCAACGGUGAAACUCAAAGGAAUUGACG
rnacentral:rRNA from 1 species